rnacentral:lncRNA from 1 species
GUAGCUGAACUUUCUGCUGCUCAAGAGGAGUUGGCACUUUCUAAGUCACUAGUGUUGGAUUCGGAGCAAAGGCUUAAUUCAAAAGAAGCUCUUAUUAAUGAACUGACUGAAGAGUUGAACCUGCAAAAGGCUUCAGAAUCCAAGGUGAAGGAAGAUAUCUCAACUCUUGAGAAUAUUUUUACUGCAACUAAAGAAGAUCUUCAAGCAAAGGUUUCUGAGUUGGAAGAUAUGAAGCUGAAACUGGACGAGCAAGUGAAAGCAAGGGAAUUGGUUGAAGCUGGGCUGAAGGCCCAACAAGAACAGGUCUCGAUUGUACAGGAAGAAUUAAGUAAAGUACUAAAGGAAAAAGAAGAUCAGAUGGCCUCCCUGAAGGAAGAAGUGAAGGGCCUGAAUGAGAAGGUUGCUGAAAAUCAGAAGGUCGAUGAAGUACUUCAAAGCACAAUAGCUGAACUUUCUGCUGCUCGGGAGGAGUUGGCACUUUCUAAAUCACUAGUAUUGGAUUGGGAGCAAAGGCUUAAUUCAAAAGAAGCUCUUAUUAAUGAACUGACUGAAGAGUUGGACCUAAAAAGGGCUUCAGAAUCCAAGGUGAAGGAAGAUAUCUCAACUCUCGAGAAUAUUUUUACUGCAACUAAAGAAGAUCUUCAAGCAAAGGUUUCUGAGUUGGAAGAUAUGAAGCUGAAACUGGACGAGGAAGUGAAAGCAAGGGAAUUGGUUGAAGCUGGGCUGAAGGCCCAACAAGAACAGGUCUCGAUUGUACAGGAAGAAUCAAGUAAAGUACUAAAGGAAAAAGAAGAUCAGAUGGCCUCCCUGAAGGAAGAAGUGAAGGGCCUGAAUGAGAAGGUUGCUGAAAGUCAGAAGGUCGAUGAAGCACUUCAAAGCACAAUAGCUGAACUUUCUGCUGCUCGGGAGGAGUUGGCACUUUCUAAAUCACUAGUACUGAAUUUGGAGAAAAGACUAAAUUCAAAAGGAGCUCUUAUUAAUGAACUGACUGAAGAGUUGGACCUGAAAAAGGCUUCAGAAUCCAAGGUGAAGGAAGAUAUCUCAACUCUUGAGAAUAUUUUUACUGCAACUAAAGAAGAUCUUCAAGCAAAGGUUUCUGAGUUGGAAGUUAUCAAGCAUAAACU